AUACUUACCUGGCAGGGGAGAUACCACAGUCACAAAGGUGCUUUCCCCAGGGAGAGGCUUAUUCACUGAACUCUGGAUAUGCUGACCCUGCAAUUUCCCCAAAUAUGGGAAACUCGACUGUAUCAUUUGUGGUAGUGGGGGAAUGCAUUUGUGCUUUCCUCUG